UAGGCUAUGCAGGACUGACGGAUUAGUGGAAUUGACCACAUGUACUGCAUGGUUUUGAUAAGCCGACCGUCUGGGCAGAGAUU
rnacentral:ncRNA from 2 species